GCAAGUGUAUUAUUAAUGAGAAUUGAGCAAGAAAAAGGGCAUCAUCCGCACAAAUAUUAUUUCAAGCAAGUGUAGAAUUCUUUCACUCUUGAUUUUCAUUAUGUUUUUAGGUUUGCUAAUAAUAUGGCGCAUCUUCUUGCCCAAGAAGCUUUAGUUUCCUCUCAUGUCUCUCAUGGGCAAGUGUGGAUGGAGAAUUGCUUCCACCUUAGUCUCUAUGAUUCCUCUGUUUUGAGUUAGCAAUGAAGUUUCCUUGCUUAAAUCUCUCAAAUAGUUGGAGAGCUUCACGUGGCUUGUAGGAUCUUUCUUCCUUUUCUUGAAAUGUUUUGAGGCAGCUUUUAGCAGCUUACCCCAUCCCUUGGUAGUGAACAGAUCACAAGCGCCUUUAAUAGGAGUUGGAGAGAAUUCAGAAGCCUUAGCUCUGUUCUUCUUCAUCUUCGUCUUCUUCAAUUUCAUCUUCUUCUUGAUGCUUGAGGUGAGUUUCUUUGAGCCACUUGUGUUGAUCAUAUUGUUAUCUGAUUCAAACCCAAAUCCAAAAGUGAGCUUUCUCGGCGUAACCAAGCCAAAAUCCAUGGGACUGUGAAUUCGAGGCACCAAGGGAGACCAUAUUGAACUCUGCGAGUAAUCAAAGUCGAAGGCAGAGUUGUCCGGGAACUUGAAGAGAAGCUCUUUUGACAUUAGUGGCUGCAAAUACUCUACCACUUUACAGCUUCUAAUGAUGAGCCUCUUUUCUUCUU
rnacentral:misc_RNA from 1 species